UCUACUAAAGGAUAACAGCAU
rnacentral:tRNA from 1 species